GACGAACGCUGGCGGCGUGCUUAACACAUGCAAGUCGAACGCUGAAGCUCAGCUUUUGUUGGGUGGAUGAGUGGCGAACGGGUGAGUAACACGUGAGUAACCUGCCUCCUUCUUUGGGAUAACGCCCGGAAACGGGUGCUAAUACUGGAUAUUCACUGGUCUUCGCAUGGGGGUUGGUGGAAAGGGUUUUUCUGGUGGGGGAUGGGCUCGCGGCCUAUCAGCUUGUUGGUGGGGUGAUGGCCUACCAAGGCUUUGACGGGUAGCCGGCCUGAGAGGGUGACCGGGCACAUUGGGACUGAGAUACGGCCCAGAAUCCUACGGGAGGCAGCAGUGGGGAAUAAUGCACAAUGGGCGCAAGCCUGAUGCAGCGACGCCGCGUGAGGGAUGGAGGCCUUCGGGUUGUGAACCUCUUUCGCUCAUGGUCAAGCCGCAACAAUGGUUGUGGUGAGGGUAGUGGGUAAAGAAGCGCCGGCUAACUACGUG
rnacentral:rRNA from 1 species